rnacentral:rRNA from 1 species
UACGGAGGGUGCGAGCGUUAAUCGGAAUUACUGGGCGUAAAGCGCACGCAGGCGGUUUGUUAAGCUAGAUGUGAAAGCCCGGGCUCAACCUGGGAUGGUCAUUUAGAACUGGCAGACUAGAGUCUUGGAGAGGGGAGUGGAAUUCCAGGUGUAGCGGUGAAAGGCGUAGAUAUCUGGAGGAACAUCAGUGGCGAAGGCGACUCCCUGGCCAAAGACUGACGCUCAUGUGCGAAAGUGUGGGUAGCGAACAGG